rnacentral:lncRNA from 1 species
UGGUGGAGAUGUUCGUCGGGGCAGCAGUGGCGUCCGUCGGGUGGAUGCUGACCUUCUUCGUCUCUCCCGCCGACUGAAAUGCAGACUCUGAAGCUGGCUUCUUCGAGCGCAUCAGGUCGGCGGGGUCGACUGUUUUCUUGUACUCGUCCAGCUCGAGGACGGCCAUCUGCUGGUCGGCGAUUCUUGAUCCCUGCUACAGACACUCUUCAGCCCGCUGCCGAUUGCCUGUGAUGGUGAUCACACCCUUCGGGCCUGGCAUCUUCAGCUUCAGGUAUACGUAACAUGGACGGGCCAUGAAACGCGCAUACGCUGGACGACCCAGAAUUGCGUGAUAAGCGCUCUGAAAGUCGACCACUUCGAACGUCAGCUUUUCCUUGCGGAAGUUCUUAUCGGAGCCGAAAAC